GAUGAACGCUGGCGGCGUGCCUAAUACAUGCAAGUCGAGCGAACAGAUGAGGAGCUUGCUCCUCUGACGUUAGCGGCGGACGGGUGAGUAACACGUGGAUAACCCACCUAUAAGACUGGGAUAACUUCGGGAAACCGGAGCUAAUACCGGAUAAUAUAUUGAACCGCAUGGUUCAAUAGUGAAAGACGGUUUUGCUGUCACUUAUAGAUGGAUCCGCGCCGCAUUAGCUAGUUGGUAAGGUAACGGCUUACCAAGGCAACGAUGCGUAGCCGACCUGAGAGGGUGAUAGGCCACACUGGAACUGAGACACGGACAAGACUCCUACGGGAGGCAGCAGUAGGGAAUCUUCCGCAAUGGGCGAAAGCCUGACGGAGCAACGCCGCGUGAGUGAUGAAGGUCUUCGGAUCGUAAAACUCUGUUAUUAGGGAAGAACAAAUGUGUAAGUAACUAUGCACGUCUUGACGGUACCUAAUCAGAAAGCCACGGCUAACUACGUG
rnacentral:rRNA from 1 species